rnacentral:lncRNA from 1 species
CAGAGAUGUUGGAGUAUGAGAGCAUAGUUUCUAAAUGGCAUGAAGAAGGUGGAGCUCUGGGUCAGCAGAAGGAGGGAGAGCGGUGUUUCAUAGUGUCAUGGAUGUCCACUGAUUUCACCUGAUUGGUAUUCUUUCCCCUUCGUCAGCCUAUCAGAUGUUUGCACAGGAGUGUAACCUUUGUAACUUCGCUGCAGCCUCUGAUUGCAGGCCGCCACUUCAUUUACAUGAGGUGACCACCAAGUGGCCAAUGGGAAACCUGCAGAGGGUAUUUGGACCUGAGAAGAUUCUGUAUCCAGGCACUUGAGCCCCUAUGCUCCGGCCACUCCCACACUGGGGAGUGUACUUUCAUUUUCAGUAAAUCCCUUCAUUCCUUCCUUGUUUUGCUGGUGCGUUUUGUCCAAUUCUUUGUUCAAGAUGCCAAGAACCUGGACACCCUCCACCGGUGACACAGCCAUGUGGAACUGUCUCAGACUUUGUGAAAUUACAUGCUAACUUGCAGACAUUUUUGUCUGGUGGAGAUGCAAAUGAUUUCUGUCUGAGAGAAAAGCCCCAAGACUCACCCAGAAGCAGAAGAUGGCUUCCCUCCUUGGGGCUUCCCUCCUGAACCCAUUUUGUUCUCAGACAGCUGAAACUUCACUGUCUUAUUAAACAUUUUUUUUAAACCAUU